rnacentral:miRNA from 1 species
CUCGAGCCGCAGCCUCCCUUUCU